UACAGAGGGUGCAAGCGUUGUUCGGAAUUAUUGGGCGUAAAGCGCGUGUAGGCGGCCGUGCAAGUCGGGUGUGAAAGCCCUCGGCUCAACCCGGGAAGUGCACUUGAAACUGGGAGGCUAGAGUACUGGAGAGGUUGGUGGAAUUCUCGGUGUAGAGGUGAAAAUUCGUAGAUAUCGAGAGGAACACCGGUGGCGAAGGCGGCGACCUGGUCCGAUACUGACGCUGAGGCGCGAAAGCGUGGGGAGCAAACAGG
rnacentral:rRNA from 1 species